UGGGGGCGGGGUCAUGCGUCGUGACGGAAAUAAGCAUAGCUGAAAAUGUGUCGCUGGUUAAAGCACAGCAGGUCAAGCAGCAUCCAAGGAACAGGAAAUUCGACGUUUCGGGCCAGAGCCCUUCAUCAGGAAUGAGGAGAGUGUGCCAGGCAGGCUAAGAUAAAAGAUGGUGAAGUUACCACUGAUUGUAGUAAGAGGCUUGAGCUCAGGCCUAUUGAGGCCAGGAUGGGACCAUUCGCCACAGCAGAUUCGCCGCUGACGAAAAGCCACUGCUCUUUGACCACUGAGGACGCUUAGCCAACGCCCAUUGGCCACUGAAGCCAAUUCACCAAUGCAAAUAAGUCAUAUAUUUUGAAUAUUGUUGGUAGCGUUUACUUGUUUUAAUAACCAUUUAUUUUUGUUAAUAGAUUUUUAAAAAUUUAACAAUGUUCAAAAUGUUAGAGAACAAGCAUAUCUAAACUACAUAAAAUUGUCGUUAUAUUGGUUAAUGUAGUGUUUGUGUUGCGUUGUUCUUGAAUACAGUGAAAGAGAUUGUUUGAAAUGUCUUAGAGGAAUAGCGCAUAACUAUCAAAUGAACUGAAAUUUCAUUGUUUAAUAUCAAUGUGAGAUUUUACUGCCAUUAUAAAGAUUUUUAAAAUAUAUUUCCUUCUGGUUAAA